GCGGCGGUAGUCUAGCCUGGUUUAGGAUGGCGGCCUCCCAAGCCGUUGAUCCCGGGUUCGAAUCCCGGCCGCCGCACCA
rnacentral:tRNA from 1 species